CAUUGAUGCUUUCUUACAAUUCCUUCCAAAAACAGAAAUGCAAACAGGUGGCCCCUGAUCAAGGGUCACUCUGGGAGAGAGACGUGGCACAAUCACUGGAUAACCCAAACUGUGCCUGUGGAAACAUCCACGGGAAAACCAACACGCCACAAAGGACAGAAGCCACCACCUGAGCACCUGCCACAGCCAAGACCUUGUGCCAGGUGUUUCUUAUCCAUGCAGUAAUUGUGAGAGCUGGGGAUGGAGCCCCGGGCAUCUACCACCAAGCUACACCCCUGGCCCUUUUAAUUGUUUUUGAGAUAGGGUCUCUCUAAGCUGUCCAGUCUGGCCAUGGACUUGUGAUCCUCCUGCCUCAGCAUCUGGAGUUGCUGGAAUUACAGAUGGGGGCACUGAGGCUCAGUGCAGAGAAGAUAUCCCCCUAAGUCCACAAGGCUAAUAUGAAAGCCCUGGUGGGACUCAGGUGGGGUCUGAUUUCGCAGCAUCUUCUCCAUCGAUCCUCACUGGGCUGCCUCCGGGGAAUGCAUGAGGUAGAGAUGCCCUGAAUCAACGUGGGGCCUUGGCAAGAAAACCCCACUCAGGUUAGAGUUCAGCCAAGAGUCAUGGCCCUUGUCCUGGGCCCCUGACCUUGACUAUGACCUGACUGGAGCUGGUACUUGGCCACACUCUGGACUCUGCCUUCAGCUGAGCCUUAAGCACAUUUACAGAAUCUGCAAGGAACUCUUGUUCCGGGGGUUGUUGACAAAUGGCCUUGUGUGGGAGGUCAGUUUGGGAAGCAGUGGAGGGUCAUGAAUGUUUACUUGUUGACUCAUUCCUCGAGUACAAGAGCCAUCUGGGAAAUCAAUGCUGCCAGACCCCCUCUCCAAAGUACCUUGCUAGGGCUCCCCUCUCACUUUGGCUUGCCUUACAAGUUCCUGUCUGGGUAUGACAACAAGGACAUUGCCAACCCCAGCAGACACCCCCACAAAGUACCAACUGCAAUUCAAGAGCAGGUGACCCAUGAAGGCCCUCGACCUGCCAGAACAUUGGGGUGGACUUCUGCUAGUCACCUGAGAGAUGCGAGGUACCUGCCUUGAUCUUCCCCAUACACCAGAUCCUCACUGCUCCCCAAGUGGCCCCUUGAGCUGUUGGAUGCUUCAUCAGAAAACUGACCUUCAUGUUGGCACCUCGUGAUUUUUAAAAAUUCAACAGUGACAUUUUAUUUUUCUGAAGUUUAUCACUUUUACAAAGCAAAAAGCAGGUAUUAAUCCAGCAGAACUGAUAAAAGUUCUGUGCCAGCGUUCACAGAAGUCAGUGAUUAGGACACUGGUAACCAGUGUAAACACUAAACACUUUGAUGCCUUAUGAUUUUCACCCAUUGGUCCCAAUUCUCUUUUUCCAUCUCUUCUACAUGACAACCUGUCAGUCUCCAGAGCACUUCUCUGUGGGGAAGGUUGAACUUGCUUGGAUGUUAAUUAGGACGGCUGAUAUCAGCCCGGCAAUUCUACCUCCCACCAGUAGGUGGCGGAAGCAGUUGGUUGUAGGGUGGUAAAUGUCCUGUUGAGCCCAAGCUUGCUAAAGUGAGGGGUUUUCUGUCUCUUCAAAAACAGCAAUUGUAGUUUUUCUUCUCUGUCAUAAAUAGUCCCAGCUCCUCAAACAACUCAUUGACAAUAGUGUCCUUCAGGGGUCCCUCAUUCUUCUAUUCAACAUCUCCCUUAAAUACGGUAAACGGUACGCAUGACGUCAGAGGGAGCCUGACAUGUUCAGAAUGACAUUUCUCUUGAGACUUCUCAGACCUGAGUGUGAACUCUGCUGCUUACUAGCUGCAUGUCCUAGGUCAGCUUUUUUCAUCUCUCGAUUUUCUGAUCUGUAAAAUAGGAAUUACAAUAGUCACAACCCCACAGGGACAUCAUCUGUGGCUGUCACACUGGGUUAAUAUGAAUAGCCCAUCAGCCACCCCAGAGCACUGCUCAUCUGCGCCCCGUUGACCACCCUGAAACCCUUUUUCAGACUUACACUUGCUUAUGAGCAAACAAAGCCCUAAGGUCUGCAAGUAAAGGGAGCUUCUUAGACGGCAAAGUGCUCUGGAAAUUCAAGGCAAAGAGCAGCAUCAUGGGUGGUGACAGUAUUAUGAGGAGCUGUUGUCCGGUGACCAGGACUCCAUUCUAUACUUGUGGAAAUGGCUUUGGGAAGUCUAAGUGCAGGACUUUCCAUUGGCCUUCGUUGGCCUUCGCCUUGCUGAUUUGGUCCCUCUGGAGUGAAAUUCCAGCUCCUCCUGGGAGGCUCUUGAGAACAGUGUGGUGGCAGUUCCCAUGUGGCAGUGUGGUCACAGAACACAUUGUGGAGGAGCUUGUGACCCAGUGAGGGCUUUGGGGUCAGGAAGACCUGGGUUCUAAUCUUGGCCUGACCAGUGACCAGCUCCAUGAGCCUCUUCUCCAGGACUCCGGUUUUCAUCUGGAAACUGGGUUAACGUGCCCUGCCUCCUCCUGGGGUGCUGAGAACCCAUGAGCGGCCACCACUGGCCAGCACAGUGCCUGGGGGGUAGUGGCUGACGGGUCAGGGUCUGUUGCCUGUGCCCCUUCUCCUCUGACUCCCGUCUGAGUGCUCCCUGCUCUUCCUGGGAGCUCCCUGUUCUCCAUCUGGUUAUGCACAUAAACAGGUAUAGACCUGUUUUGGUGAGGUGUCCCGGGAGGGGCUCUGAGGCAGCGUUCACCAGGGCUUCCAGAAGCUCUGAAUUUCCUCUCUUCCACUGAGGACAGAGGCAGAGCCAAUCGUGACGCUCCCCCAGGGAGGCAGGAAAUCCCACGGGGAGUUGCAGGGCCCAGGAGCUGCUGGCUGGCGGGGGAGGAGCAAGCAGCAGAUUUAUGACUUGGGAUGAGACUCAGGUGGCCAGGAUUCCGUUUGCCACCCACCUGCCAUGUGACCCUGAAAGGCCUCCUCCUCCUGGACCUUGGGUUUGCUGUCUGCAGAAUGGCCCAGUGUAGAGAUAAUCUUGAAGGACCUUUCCAAUCUGUGGUUCUCUGGCUCAGAGCCGCCAUUCAUAGCUUAACUCGAGAACCACUGUUUCCCAAGAGUUAUGCUUCUGUGUGUCGACCCCGGCUGCUAAGAGAGGGGAGCCAGCGGGAGCAGAUCAACCUGGAAGGCAGGAAACCUUCCCGGAAGGCAGUGGACACUAGAGCAACCUGAGCACUUCCCAGGGGGUUUUGAGUAGGCAACAGAGUGCCUUGGAGUCCUUAGGAAUGAAUCUCCAAGUCUACUGGGGGCAGAGUACCACGCUGCCCAAAUCCGACACGCCAUUCCCUGUCCAUAGCUGUGGGGUCUCACACCACCUCAUCCACACCCCCAUCUGUCCUGUUUGUUUGGGGCUCUGUCCCAAUGUGUGUCAGAACUUUCAAAGUUGAAGUCUGAAUUCUGCUGACUGCCCUUGAACUUGAGUCAAGCCAGACACAACUGGAUGCAGAAUAAUGUUCCUAUGGCUGGUUCUCAGAAAUCAGGCAGCACAUGUUACGCUCCAUGUACCCACCGUGCUUUCCUCCUCCCAUCCUGAUGCCCCACCCACCACCGUCCAUCCUCCCACCUGUCCUGCCUUGUCAUUCAUUCAGCCGGUGUCCGCCACAUGCUCAGCACCACGAGGAUUGGGGGGCUCAGUCAGAGAGGAGGAGCAAGGGAGCAGUUUCCUUCCAGAAUCUUUCCCUCCGUCAGUCUUUACCGGACAUCUUCCUCCCCAUGCCGGCCCAGCUCUGAUCACGGAGAUGGGACGAUUAAUAUUCUAGUGAAGAACUGUGGGAAGGAGAAGGGGUUCUGGAAGUCUCGGUUCCAGGCCCGCCUCAUCUCAGAGGACUUGUUGACUUGCUCGGUUUUAGAUGAUGCUUGAAUAUCCUUCGUUUCUCUGAUUUUGUGGCUCACGUCGUGAGGAGAGGGAAUGACAAGGCAGGACAGGUGGGAGGAUGGACGGGAUCUUGGUUGGCUCCUGCUCUCAGGUUCUCUCCUGAUACAGCCAGUGCCAGCCGCCCCUGCUGAUGUCAGAUCCAACUCAGUGGCUGAGAGCUUGUCUAGGUGGGCAAGGCCCUGGGUUUCUUCCCCAGCACCAGGAAAAGAAUGAAGCAGGGGUCCACAAAUCUCAGGUUCAGAGAAGACCCCAAGUCCUACACAGUAGGCCAAAGGUGUCCACGUCCCCGUCCCUGCAGCCUGGGAAUACGUUAGUUUAUAAGGCAGAAGGGACUUUGCAGAUGUGAUUCAUUUAAGCAUUUGAGAUGGGGACAUGACCCUGGAUUGAUAGAAUCACAAAGGUCCUUGUAAGAGGGUGGUCUGAGCGUCCGAGAGACGAGAUGUGAUGGUGGAAGCCGCGUUCAGACAGAGGGGAAGGUGUUUUCCUGCUGGUCGGACGCGACCGAGGAAGGAGCAGAGUGGGGCAGGCAGGAAACAGGUUGUCCCCCAGAGCCUCCUGAAGAGGGGACCCAACCCUAACCCGCCCUGUGGACCCUGACUUUAGCCCACUGAGACUGCCUUUAGACAUACGACCUCUAACUAUACUGUACAAAAAAAAAAGUGUGUUGUUUUAAGCCACUAAAUUUGGAGGCCUUUGUUAGAGCAGCAAUAGGAAGUUGAUUUAUCCUAGCUUUGGCAUAGGUUAGCACACACACUUCAGGCAAGUUACCUAACUGUCUGAGCAUCCGUUCCUUAUCUGUAAAAUAAGGAAAUAUCUGUGGAAAAAUAUAUAUAUAUUUAUAUAUAUAAAUAUAUAUAAGCUCUGAAUUUCCUCUCUUCCACUGAGGACAGAGGCAGAGCCAAUCGUGACGCUCCCGGAGCAGUUUCCUUCCAGAAUCUUUCCCUCCGUCAGAUCCCGGGCCCUGGCCAGCUGGGGCAGGGUGUGGGCACGGCUCGGGAGGCCCCUGGGCAGGCAAACUUCUUCUGGGCCCGGUACCUGUCCUGUAACCUAACUUCACAUACCCCACCCCCACCCCCGUUCCUCUGCCCUGAGGUUGGGAUCCCCUCCCCUCCCUGGUCCCUGACAGGACCUUCCCCCUUUGCUGAGGGGAAGACACUUCCUUUCCUAGAGGUGGCCUCCACCUGGAUGAAACCUUUCGCACCAGGGACGGCAUUUGGGGCCUUGCUGUCUGCAACGCCCUGUGCGUCUUUUCCCAGGAAGCUCCGGAGGGUGUACUCCCUACAGGAGGGAGCAGAGAGAGGCGCCGGGGAUGGGGGACUGGGGCCCCAACAGGAAGGAGGGACGUGGUGCCCCGGGCUGCCCACCUGGGGGCAGUCACUCUGAGGGAGGGGCGGGAUCCGGGAACUCCACCAGGCAAGAAAGAGGAGAGCGGUGGAUUUGCGUGUCUGUGCAGACGGAGAAGUGACCUGCCUUCCUGUUGGCAUGUGUGUGUGUGGGGGGGACCACUCAGACAGAAAAACAAGCUCCCCAAGGACUUGGGGGACAAAAUUCCUCCCUCCUACUAGAGCCUCACCCCUGGUUCUCUUCACCACUCCCACCUCCAUCAUGGCCCCAGGAUGCAGCUCCUGGUCAUCACAGUGUGUGGUACCCAGUCUGAAAACCAGAGUCCACUGCCCUCUGCCUACUAAUGGGGACACCGAGGGUCAGUGAUGCACCCAGGGCCACGCAGGGAGGAGGUUUAUCUGCGACAUUUUUGAGAGUUCCUUCUGAUUAAUUUAAAACAAGAUCAGUGGGAGGCUGAGGCAGGAGGGUCACCAUUUUGAGGCCAACCUCAGCGACUUAGCAGGACCCUAUCUCAACAGGCCGGGAGGUGUAGCUCCGAGGUCGAGUGCUCACCUGGCGUGUGCAAGGCCCAGGGUUCAAGCCUUGGCACUGAGGUUUCUGAGUUACUCUGUCACCUAUUACGGAGAUGUAAUUGAGUUUUCCCAGACGACGGCCAGCAAGCUCCUUGGGGAGCUUUUAUUUAUCUAUUUUUAAAUAACCAAGGUCAAGUCGGACGUGGUGGACCACAUCUGUAAUCCCAGUGACUCAGGAGGCUGAGGCAGGAGCAUCCCAAGUUCAAAGCCAGCCUCAGCCUGGCUGAGGCCCUAAGCAACUCAGUGAGACCCUGUCUCAAAAUAAAAACACAAUACAAUAAAUUAAAAAGUAAAAAUAAAAACAGGCUGGGGAUGUAACUCAGUGGUAAAGCACCCCUGAGUUUAAUCCCCAGACCCCCCCCCCUCACAAAAAAAAACCAAGGCCAAUGUCCUCUUGCAAGUUCAAAAACCCUAAGUUUUUCCUGUAACAGACUUUCCAGUGGUCUCGCUUUUGAUUUUUCUGCCUUCCCACUGCCUUCUCCAAGGGCCAGGCCAACCUCCAAGUGUUUGUUAUUCAGGGUUAAGGAUAAAGAUGCCCCCUGGAGUAUCUGCAUCGGAAUCAGGAAUUCUAGGAAACCCACAGUCCACAACCUUGAGGUGACAGUCCUUCUUGGAGCCCGAGUGUCCUGGUCUCCGGACCUCAUCACCUUCCUGAUGAACAGGGCGGCCUUGGAAGCUCAAUGGAGAGACCUGAUGGGGGCGAGAACCCUGGCCUGGAACUUGCUCUCUGCAAAACCGACAGCUGGGACCCAGUGACCUCCCUCUUAGACUCCUUUCAUCCUGUGACCUGGAGCCUCCGGUGUGACUCAGGAUGGCCCGGCCCUCCGUGCCACGUGCUCGGCCCCGAGGCCCUCCAUCCCUCCAUCCUUCCAUCCCUCCAUCCCGGCAGGCGCUCCCCUCCCUCGUCCUGCCCACGGCGGGGCCUGGCAGGCGCGGGGCUGCUGUGGCAGGAGCCGGGGUGAGGAACAAUCCCAGCCCUUCAGGCUGCGUGGCAGGAGCUGGCAGCCGGCCAGGCACAAUAGCCCCGAGGUACAGAGGGGCGUUUGUCUGGGGACCCACAGCUUCAUGGAACCCUGCCCUCAGCCUCCCCUUCCCCCCACCCUCUCAGACGGCAGUGCCGCCCCAGCCUGGUCGUGAGAUGGGACAGGGCCGCUGCUCAGCCCUGAGCAGCCUGCGGUGGCCUGGGAGCUGGGAGGCCGGAAAAGACAAGGGGGUGGCAGGAAGGCAGGGAGCCCCGAGUGGGGCCAGGGGGACCCCAGACAGGGGGGAGGGGCAGACGCUGCAGGGACAGGGCAGGGGCUGUAGAGAGAGGGACAGGGACGGGCCCUGAGCCCUCACUGACUAGUGAAGAGACUGUGGGCCGGGGCUUCCUCCUCGCUGGGCCUCAGUUUCCUCAGCUGUAAAAUGGGGUGACUGUCCUGCCCUGAUGUUCUGAGGACUCCACUAAAUAAAAUCGGGGCUCGUGACGGCCGUGGGGCGUCAGGGAGAGCAAGGGUGGACCCAGGAGUCGGGUCCAAAGGCACCUCGACACCCCUGAACUCACUCUUGGGGACAGACCAUUCACACUCCUCGUUGUCCUCUGGACUGAGUAAGAAAGGCUGGAGGCGCCCUGCCUGGUGCCUGGCGAAGGCCGGAGGACUCGGCCACGGCCACACCCUGAUCCUCGUGGACCCUCUAUUACCAUACAUUUUUGUGGUCUCUAUUUUUUUCCAAUAUGAGGGAAAAAGAACUGAAACAUUUUCUUCCACCUUCAAAGGACCCCUCUCCCCAAUUUUAAGAGCCGCCAAACCCUCCUUGGGGUCCUCCAGAGUAAGCCUUGUCUGCUGUGCCCAGGGGCUCUGGCCUUGCUUCGGAGUUCUCUGGGUCCUCACCGGCCCUGGGCAGUGUCGCCAAGUUCCGCUGGACGCCAGGAACCUCGUCUCUGAGGAAUCCACCUUGGGCUCAGGGUCCCGCGACGCCGGUGCCCCCCACUGCACAGAGCUGAGCUCAGGGGCCCUGUUAGUGCCACCCCUCCUAGUUUCAAUGUGGCUGAGCCCUGUCCCCAGAGGCAGGUGGGACCCCAGAGAACCUCGGGUCUGGGAGAGUCCAGGUGAGCCCCAUGGCGAGGGGCGGGUGUGUGGCUGGGCCGGACUCUUCAGGAACCAGGGUGGUGGGUGGUGAGCCUCUGGCGCCCUGCUGUGCUUGUCCCUUUGUCACGGCCUCUGUGCCAGCAGAGGUGCUUGGGCCUUCACGCUCGUGGUCCCAGUGAAUCCUCAUGGCACACCAUUCUGCUUCACACCCAAGGAGACAGGCCCAGAGAGGCUGGGUAACCCGUCCAGAGUCACAGAGCCACCAGGGCAGGAUGGGACCCGUCUCCUGUUCCCCACAGCCCUCCCUCCCCCCUCCUUAAAGUGUUGGGGGAGGGUGGGGGGACUUUCAGGGCCAGUAGACACCGAGGAAAGUGAGGGGCGGGUGCAGGAAGGAGGUUCUGGAGGACGUGCAGGUGCGCAAGGCGCCGUGCUCCCGGGGCCACCCUUGUCCUCCCAGGUGAGGGUCUGAGCAGCGGCAGGGCCGCUGCUGGUAUGUGGGCCUCCCUGUCUGGGGGACGUGCCAGGUGGGGCUGUCGCUGAACAGGCGAGAGGUCCUCUCCCCCUUGCCAAGCUGCUCAGAGCCAGUUCUGUUUACCCAGAAACCAGAGCGGGCGCAGGGCUCAGCCCAAACCGGCCCCCUUCAGGGCCCACAGAGGAAGGAGUGGCGGAGGCCAGGCCGGGCCUCAGGCUCAGAGGGAGGAGGGGGAGUGCUAGUUCCAGCCCAUCUCUGUCCCCAGAUCACUCACUGGCUGGGUGGGUGCUGCACCCUCCGUGUGACCCAUCCGCCCAGGGGAGGACGGAGAAGGACCCACUGCAAACCUACCAGCUGCGCCGAGCCCACCCUGAGAGCCCUUAGCCACUUCUUGAGGACUCCACCAUCACCUCCACUCUCUCCGAGGACUCUUCCCUACUAAUUUUGGGAUGUCUGCAGUUUGACGAUGUCAUCAAGGUCAUUGUCACCUCCCAUCUUCCUUCCCCUCCUCCCAGGAACUCUGCCUCACUUACCCUCUUUAACUUUUUCCGCAGAAGAGCCACCGUCUGAAACCACCUAGGUUGUGACCUGUCUGUCCUCUACAGAAGCGAGGUUCUCUGCAAGGGCUCUGGUCUUCCUCCUCCCAGGGCGAGGUCCAGUGCCUGCCGCGGUUCUUGGGGCCCUGAAGGCACCUGGGAUGUGCAGAUGGUGGACGCUGGCAGCCGAGGGCAGGAUGUGAACCACAGGCCCUGGAGCUGGAUUGCGGGGUUCUAAUCCCGGCCUUUUCUCAGACCCCAUUGACGGUCAUGGUCAUCAUCAAAUCAUGCAGUUCGCUACGGUGAUCAUCACAGACCUGUCCCCAGCUGCUCCAGCAGUGGCCUGAGCGCCCAGGCUGUGUCUGGGUCCUGCCAUGCCCAGCACGUCUCAGAAUCUGUCUUCCCAUUGCAGAAAUGACACUGACACCCACCUGCAGCUUCUGAAGCCAGAAACCUAAGGUCACCACUGUCACCGGCGCAUCACCCCAUCACCAAGCUCUUUCAGAUGGAUCUUCGUUUCCUACAGAUGCCCUUGUCUCCCCGUCUUCCCCACCUGUCCAGUCCAGGCCUCUCAAGAUCUGCACCUGGUAGCUCCCUGCAGGAGCUCAGUCUAUCAGUCACUCCUGCCCCAGCCCCAGGGCCUUUGCAUGUGCCAGGCCACUCUUUCCUCCCCCACUGAUUUCUCUGAUGCUUUAGUCACAUCAAAUCUCCACACCGUGCCCUGUCACAGGGCUGUUUCCCCUGCUGGCCACUGGUGGUAGUCAGCAUCUUCCACCAGUGACAGAGCCCCACCCAGGACUCUGAAGCAGGAGCGUCAAGGGUGCUAUUAAGCCCUCCAGCCCCAGUGCCUUGAGCACCACGUGGCACAUCAUGGGGGGUUGCUCUGUGUCCCACGAACGAAAUGAAUUCCCAGCUACGCGAGUGAGCGGAGGGUGCUCAAAAAUGGACCUGCAGCCCGGGCAAGGGUGGAGCCUGGGCCAGGUGUGUGCUUUCCCCUCCACACAUGGCUGCCAUGGUGACACCCGUGUGACACUGAGCACAAGUCAGCCCGGGGGCUGUGGACCUGGGGGGCGGCUGCCUGGGGAGCUGGAAUCUGAGGGCACCGUGGUCACUGUGCUCCUGGGCUACGGGGUCACAGCGACCUGGGUCUGAGUCCCAGGGAGAAAGUAGAAGCCGCACCUGCCCAGUUCCCAGGGCCCAGCCCUGCCGAGGACUGGACUGUCCCCCCAGCAGAUGCCUAUUAGCGUCUAAAACUUACAUGUGAGGACGCAGAGGCACCAGGGGCUAAGCUCCUAUCCAAGACGACCAGCUGGGAGAGGACGUUCCUUUUCUCCAAGACCCACCUGAAGUCCCUGCCUAUGUCAAGUGGCCAGCCUCCCCGAGGCCCCGCCCAUCCUCCCCCAGCAGGUGCCUGGUCAGCACCGGCCCACACUCUGCUGUCCGUGGCCGCCAGACCCAUCUCCUUCCUUCCUCCCUUCUUUCCUUUCCGACUGGCAUUGAACCCAGGGGCGCUUGACCACAGAGCCACAUCCUGGCCCUUUUCAUAUUUCUAUUUAGAGACAGGGUCUGAGUUUCUCAGGGCCUUGCUGAGUUGCUGAGGCUGGCUUUGAACUCACGAUCUUCCUGCCUCAGGAUCUGACUUCAGAGUCUGGCCCACAUUUUGGGGACUCGAUAAUCCCAGCAGCUAGGGAGGCUGAGGCAGGAGGAUCGUGAGUUCACAGCCAGCCUCAGCAAAAGUGAGGCCCUAAGCAACUCAGUGAGACCCUGUCUCUAAAUAAAAUACAAAAUAGGGCUGGGGAGGUGGCUCCGUGGUUGAGUGUCCCUGAGUUCAAUCCCUGGCACCAAAUAAAUAAAUAAAACAGACAUAACGAGCACUUACUAUGUGCCAAGCACCUCUCUAAAAACUUCACAAAUGAUUUUUAUUUGAAUAGUUUGUAACCCACCUCAUUCCAAAAGAACUCUGUGAGGUGAGUAUCAGGGUCUUCAUCUUAGGGGUGAAGAAACCGAGUUUUAGAGAAGCCAAGUAACUUGUCUGGGGUCACACAGCCAGUGAAGGUGGCAGACUUGGGUGGAAAUGAGGCUGAAUACUCCAGAAUUCAAGCUGUCACCUGUCUGCCUCACUGCCUCGGCUCAGUGAGUGAGAAUCACUAUUAUUUACCGAGAUUUUGUAGGGGGGGAAGGGAGGAGUGCCGUCCUAGCCAGGAGGACAGUGGGGAGAACACAGUCAGGAGGGGAGUGUAGGAUUGGGGGGGGAGGGACAGUGAGGUCUCAGCACCGUGGAGCUGAGGGCCCAGGGAAGGCCAGAGUGUAGAUGAGACCUGAGGGAUAGAGUGGGAAUUCAACCUCCAUGGAAGGAACCAGCAUGCGCUGCUCUCAAGAAUCCCUACGGGAUGGAUUCCAUGGGAGGUAGGAGUGUGAAAAGUAGGAGUGUCAGAACCUGACAGCUCUGCUGGGUGGCCUUUGGAAAGUUACUUAACCUCUCUGUGCCUCCAUUUCCUGUUCCAUAAAAUGGAGGUAGUAACAGGCCCCCCCCCCUUCACUGGAUCGUUGUCUGGGAGAAAUAAAAUAAUAAAUGUCAAGCCCCUGAUGGUGUCUGGCAGAAAGCCACCAUUUAACAUAGUUCAUUUCCCUCCCUUCCCCAAGACCUCUCCAGCUGUGCCAGAAUCAAGAGUAAACUACGGUUUCAAAGCGUGUCUGAGACUGAGAAGAAAGAAGAGUUGAUUUCCGUGUCGCCUCUGCGUUAUAUAACUGAACUUCCCAGCUCGGUGCCCGGAGAGGGGGGUGCUCAGGAGGCAGGCUGGCAGCAACAAAAAUAAAGAGUUCUGCCCUCGCUGUCCCGGGCCGCGGCCGGGCAGAAGCUGGUGAGGCCUGAACUUGGCGCUGCAGGGCAGGGGACCUGGGAUCCAGGCCCAACCCUUCCUGGGACAUGGACAUGUCACAAGCCAGCACCUGGUUAGGCACUGGGUGCCCUGGGAGGCUAGCUUCCAGCAUGGCGGGGAGCCGGGGUGGGGGGGGCCUGCAAUCCCCACCCCCUGCCUCCCACGCCUGUGCCCCCCAGUCCUGCCUCCUGCCUCCUCCAGACCUUGGAUUUUUAAAAAAAUUCUCUUGAUGGGA